GCGGUACAGGAUGGACCCGCGUCUGAUUAGCUAGUUGGUAAGGUAACGGCUUACCAAGGCGACGAUCAGUAGCCGACCUGAGAGGGUGAUCGGCCACAUUGGAACUGAGACACGGUCCAAACUCCUACGGGAGGCAGCAGUGGGGAAUAUUGCACAAUGGGCGAAAGCCUGAUGCAGCAACGCCGCGUGAGCGAUGAAGGCCUUCGGGUCGUAAAGCUCUGUCCUCAAGGAAGAUAAUGACGGUACUUGAGGAGGAAGCCCCGGCUAACUACGUGCCAGCAGCCGCGGUAAUACGUAGGGGACUAGCGUUAUCCGGAAUUACUGGGCGUAAAGGGUGCGUAGGUGGUUUCUUAAGUCAGAGGUGAAAGGCUACGGCUCAACCGUAGUAAGCCUUUGAAACUGGGAAACUUGAGUGCAGGAGAGGAGAGUGGAAUUCCUAGUGUAGCGGUGAAAUGCGUAGAUAUUAGGAGGAACACCAGU
rnacentral:rRNA from 1 species